AGCGUUGUCCGGGAAUUAUUGGGCGUAAAGAGCUCGUAGGCGGUUUGUCGCGUCUGCUGUGAAAUCCCGAGGCUCAACCUCGGGUCUGCAGUGGGUACGGGCAGACUAGAGUGUGGUAGGGGAGAUUGGAAUUCCUGGUGUAGCGGUGGAAUGCGCAGAUAUCAGGAGGAACACCGAUGGCGAAGGCAGAUCUCUGGGCCAUUACUGACGCUGAGGAGCGAAAGCAUGGGGAGCGAACAGGAUUAGAUACCCUGGUAGUCCAUGCCGUAAACGUUGGGCGCUAGAUGUGGGGACCAUUCCACGGUUUCCGUGUCGUAGCUAACGCAUUAAGCGCCCCGCCUGGGGAGUACGGCCGCAAGGCUAAAACUCAAAGGAAUUGACGGGGGCCCGCACAAGCGGCGGAGCAUGCGGAUUAAUUCGAUGCAACGCGAAGAACCUUACCAAGGCUUGACAUAUACCGGAAACGUUCAGAAAUGUUCGCCCCGCAAGGUCGGUAUACAGGUGGUGCAUGGUUGUCGUCAGCUCGUGUCGUGAGAUGUUGGGUUAAGUCCCGCAACGAGCGCAACCCUCGUCGUAUGUUGCCAGCACGUAAUGGUGGGAACUCAUAUGAGACUGCCGGGGUCAACUCGGAGGAAGGUGGGGAUGACGUCAAAUCAUCAUGCCCCUUAUGUCUUGGGCUUCACGCAUGCUACAAUGGCUGGUACAAUGGGCUGCAAUACCGCGAGGUGGAGCGAAUCCCAAAAAGCCAGUCUCAGUUCGGAUUGGGGUCUGCAACUCGACCCCAUGAAGUCGGAGUCGCUAGUAAUCGCAGAUCAGCAACGCUGCGGUGAAUACGUUCCCGGGCCUUGUACACACCGCCCGUCAAGUCAUGAAAGUCGGUAACACCCGAAGCCGGUGGCCUAACCUUUGGAGGGAGCCGUCGA
rnacentral:rRNA from 1 species